rnacentral:rRNA from 1 species
CUUGACUCUAGUCUGGCACUGUAAGGAGACAUGAGAGGUGUAGCAUAAGUGGGAGACUCCUUACGGUGUCGAAAGUGAAAUACCACUACUUUCAUCGUUUCCUUACUUACUUGGUGAGGCGGAAAGCGUGCAUGGUUCCCUGUGUUCCAUGCACGGUAUUCUAGAACCACGACCGUGAUGGUCACAACUUAUCCCGGUUAAUCCGAUCCAAGGACACUGCCAGGCC